GAUGAAGAACGCAGCGAAAUGCGAUACGUAAUGUGAAUUGCAGAAUUCAGUGAAUCAUCGAAUCUUUGAACGCAUAUUGCGCUCUUUGGUAUUCCGAAGAGCAUGCUUGUUUGAGUAUCAGUAAACACCUCAAAGCUUUUGGAUUUUUUAAUCGAAAAGCUUUGGACUUGAGCAAUCCCAACACCAAUCUUUUUGAGAUCGGUGGCGGGUUGCUUGAAAUGCAGGUGCAGCUGGACAUUCUCCUGAGCUAAAAGCAUAUUCAUUUAGUCCCGUCAAACGGAUUAUUACUUUUGCUGCAGCUAACAUAAAGGGAGUUUGACCGUAUUGGCUGUCUGAUGCAGGAUUUCACAAGGGUCGGCAACGAUUCUUGUUAAACUCGAUCUCAAAUCAAGUAAGACUACCCGCUGAACUUAAGCAUAUCAAUAAGCGGAGGA
rnacentral:misc_RNA from 1 species